UCCCCGUACUGGCCGAGGCCGCCGACGGCCCCGGCGCCGAGGCCGUCGGCGAGAUCGCCGUACGCCACGGCCUCGCCGUCCUGUACGGCUACCCGGAGC
rnacentral:tRNA from 1 species